UUGCAAGAUGUCUAUAACAGCGAUAUAAUACAUAGAGGAGAGAAAGAGGAGGAAGAAGAAGAGAAGAGAGAGGAAAAAAAAUGGCAACAAUAAAGGUCAAUACAAAAUAAAGGGUGAUGACCUCAACCCUUUUCGUCUCGCUGCAUCCAACGUGUUCCCCUCUCCCUUUCACCUAUGACAGAAGAGAGAGCGAGAAAGUUAGCAGUCGCGGGGAAAUAAUUAUCUUGGUAGGUAAGCGACGCGACUCAGUGGAAACAGUGAUUGGUUCAUCUAAGCUGUCGUAAUCUUCAUUGUUACGCAGAAGGUAUCUACGAAGCAGGAGGUAUAAGGUAUUCGGGCAAUAUUCGUACUCUAUUAUAGGUCGCGUGAAGGCUAAUAUGCGUCUACAUAAAUAGCACGCGGGAAAAAUUUCUCCGUUGUUAACUUGCAGGUAAUGUUUCAAAAUAAGUCUAUACGAUUUUCGCUCGGUCAAUGGUAUUUUAUAUAUACAACGAAAGCACAAUGUAUUAAUGUGAUUUUUAUACGCAACUUUUAUCACGCAGGUGGUGCGGCUUAUACGAUAAAAAUAUAAUAACAUCGGCGAAAGUUCCCGGCGCGAACUAGAAGCUUUAUUUAACGUCAAACACCGGCAUCCCACCGCUGUCACCACUUGUUACGUCCGUCCUGGAGGCGACCGGACGCGGGCGCGAGUAAAGUAUGAAGAGGGCAAGCUUCGGGAUAGUACCUUGAGGUACCCCGCGGUUUUUAGAACG